rnacentral:lncRNA from 10 species
GAGAUACUGACAUUUGGGGACAUCUGACUCCAUCCAGCUCUCACAUGAUAUGGGAGGCAGAGCAGGACAGGUCCCGGAGAGGGAGAGGCAGAUCCAGGAUAUCCCUAGAAGGCUUCCGGAGAGGACCUCAAGGAAGGUAAAAUGAGCAGUUUUUUGCAGAAUCCAAAAUUCAAUACAGUUCCCACCUAUUAACUAUGUGCUUCACACCAAGCUGUGGCAGGAGCUGGAGGUGCAGAGAGGGGUGAGGCACAGCCCCUUGCGCACCAGCAGCUCAGAAGCCAGUGGGAGAGACAGACGUGUAAAUAGACAUCCACCAUGUGGCUUGAUCCACAGAUCACAGAAAUAUAUUCAAUACAGAAAGGAAGAGACUCUCGUCUCAAGGCGCUAGGGUAGAGAUGUUUCCACCCCCACCUCCUCGCUGAAAAGCAGCCACGACAAGAAGGAGAACAAGAAACAGAAACACAAACUCCCACCUUCAAAGAAGCCAGGAGACACCUGUAACCCCAAACCACAAUGUAUGAGCAGCAAGAGCAGAUGGAGGGUGGUAAAUGAUUGAACAGAGCUGAGGAAGGCAAACCUAAGUGCCUGCUGCUACAUGGUGGGGUGGAGUAGGGGCUUUGGAGACAGAAAAGAUGCAAAUCACCUGGUCUUGCAGAACCCUGGGGAGGCUUAGAAUUAGGGAACCCAGACAUCAUGGAUGGUGAGGCAGGAGGCUGAAAACAGGGGUUGUGUGGAAGUCUGCUUAGGAGGAGUGAGAUCCCCCAGCACCACCCCAGGUCUUCUCUUUUCCAUUACGUGGUCAGGCACCCACCCCUCCCUAACCCCAGCAAGGAGUAUUCAGCCAGAGUUCUCUGGACCCAGAGACAUUCGCUACAGGGCAGAGUGGGGGUGAGGCACCAC